rnacentral:rRNA from 1 species
GAUGAACGCUGGCGGCGUGCCUAACACAUGCAAGUCAAGCGAUUUACUUCGGUAAAGAGCGGCGGACGGGUGAGUAACGCGUGGGUAACCUGCCCUGUACACACGGAUAACAUACCGAAAGGUAUGCUAAUACGGGAUAAUAUGUUUUGAUCGCAUGAUCGAAAUAUCAAAGCUCCGGCGGUACAGGAUGGACCCGCGUCUGAGUAGCUAGUUGGUAAGGUAACGGCUUACCAAGGCGACGAUCAGUAGCCGACCUGAGAGGGUGAUCGGCCACAUGGGAACUGAGACACGGUCCAAACUCCUACGGGAGGCAGCAGUGGGGAAUAUUGCACGAUGGGCGAAAGCCUGAUGCAGCAACGCCGCGUGAGCGAUGAAGGCCUUCGGGUCGUAAAGCUCUGUCCUCAAGGAAGAUAAUGACGGUACUUGAGGAGGAAGCCCCGGCUAACUACGUGCCAGCAGCCGCAGUAA